GACGGAGGAGGCUAGCGUUGUUCGGAAUUAUUGGGCGUAAAGCGCACGUAGGCGGCUUAGCAAGUCGGAAGUGAAAUCCCUCGGCUCAACCAAGGAAGUGCUUUCGAAACUGCUGAGCUUGAGUACGAAAGAGGAUCGCGGAAUUCCCGGUGUAGAGGUGAAAUUCGUAGAUAUCGGGAGGAACACCAGUGGCGAAGGCGGCGAUCUGGGUCGAUACUGACGCUGAGGUGCGAAAGCGUGGGGAGCAAACAGG
rnacentral:rRNA from 1 species